GCUGGGUGUGGUGGCAUGCACCUGUAGUCCCAGCUGCUCAGGAGGCUGAGGCAAGAGAAUCACUUGAACCCAGGAGGUGGAGGUUGCAGUGAGCCGAGAUCGUGCCACUGCACUCCAGCCUGGGUAACAGAGAGAGACCUUGUCUCAA
rnacentral:SRP_RNA from 1 species